GAACGCUGGCGGCAUGCUUUACACCUGCAAGUCGAACGGUAACAGGCCUUCGGGUGCUGACGAGUGGCGAACGGGUGAGUAAUGCAUCGGAACGUACCCAGAGGUGGGGGAUAACGCAGCGAAAGCUGUGCUAAUACCGCAUGUGAUCUGAGGAUGAAAGCGGGGGACCGAGCAGCAAUGUUUGGCCUCGCGCCUUUGGAGCGGCCGAUGUCGGAUUAGCUAGUUGGUGGGGUAAAGGCCUACCAAGGCGACGAUCCGUAGCUGGUCUGAGAGGACGACCAGCCACACUGGGACUGAGACACGGCCCAGGCUCCUACGGGAGGCAGCAGUGGGGAAUUUUGGACAAUGGGCGCAAGCCUGAUCCAGCAAUGCCGCGUGCGGGAAGAAGGCCUUCGGGUUGUAAACCGCUUUUGGCAGGAACGAAACGGUGUCCGCUAAUACCGGGCGCUAAUGACGGUACCUGCAGAAUAAGCACCGGCUAACUACGUG
rnacentral:rRNA from 1 species